rnacentral:tRNA from 1 species
GGGGGAUUAGCUCAGUUGGCUAGAGCGCUUCCAUGACAAGGAAGAGGUCACCGGUUCAAUUCCAGUAUCUCCCA